GUGGGGAAUCUUCCGCAAUGGACGAAAGUCUGACGGAGCGACGCCGCGUGAGUGAAGAAGGCCUUCGGGUCGUAAAGCUCUGUCAUCAGGGACGAGCGGCCGGUGGAGUGGAAAGCCACCGGAUUGACGGUACCUGAGAAGGAAGCCACGGCUAACUACGUGCCAACAGCCGCGGUAAUACGUAGGUGGCAAGCGUUGUCCGGAAUUAUUGGGCGUAAAGCGCGCGCAGGUGGGAUCUUAAGUCCAUUUUUAAAGUUCGGAGCUCAACUCCGUGAUGGGAUGGAAACUGGGAUUCUUGAGUACCGGAGAGGAAAGCGGAAUUCCCCGUGUAGCGGUGAAAUGCGUAGAUAUGGGGAGGAACACCAGUGGCGAAGGCGGCUUUCUGGACGGUGUCUGACACUGAGGCGCGAAAGCCAGGGGAGCGAACGGGAUUAGAAACCCUGGUAGUCC
rnacentral:rRNA from 1 species